UACGAAGGGAGCUAGCGUUGUUCGGAUUUACUGGGCGUAAAGCGCACGUAGGCGGAUCGUUAAGUCGGGGGUGAAAUCCUGGAGCUCAACUCCAGAACUGCCUUCGAUACUGGCGAUCUUGAGUCCGGAAGAGGUGAGUGGAACUCCUAGUGUAGAGGUGGAAUUCGUAGAUAUUAGGAAGAACACCAGUGGCGAAGGCGGCUCACUGGUCCGGUACUGACGCUGAGGUGCGAAAGCGUGGGGAGCAAACAGG
rnacentral:rRNA from 1 species